GAUGAACGCUGGCGGCGUGCUUAACACAUGCAAGUCGAACGGAAAGGCCCAAGCUUGCUUGGGUACUCGAGUGGCGAACGGGUGAGUAACACGUGGGUGAUCUGCCCUGCACUUCGGGAUAAGCCUGGGAAACUGGGUCUAAUACCGGAUAGGACGAUGGUUUGGAUGCCAUUGUGGAAAGUUUUUUCGGUGUGGGAUGAGCUCGCGGCCUAUCAGCUUGUUGGUGGGGUAAUGGCCUACCAAGGCGUCGACGGGUAGCCGGCCGGAGAGGGUGUACGGCCACAUUGGGACUGAGAUACGGGCCAGACUCCUACGGGAGGCAGCAGUGGGGAAUAUUGCACAAUGGGCGCAAGCCUGAUGCAGCGACGCCGCGUGGGGGAUGACGGCCUUCGGGUUGUAAACUCCUUUCGCUAGGGACGAAGCGUUUUUGUGACGGUACCUGGAGAAGAAGCACCGGCUAACUACGUG
rnacentral:rRNA from 1 species